CUACGGGACGCUGCAGUGGGGAAUCUUGGACAAUGGGCGCAAGCCUGAUCCAGCCAUGCCGCGUGAGUGAAGAAGGUCUUCGGAUUGUAAAGCUCUUUUGCCAGGGACGAUAAUGACGGUACCUGGAGAAUAAGCCCCGGCAAACUUCGUGCCAGCAGCCGCGGUAAUACGAAGGGGGCUAGCGUUGUUCGGAAUUACUGGGCGUAAAGCGCACGUAGGCGGGUGGUUAAGUCAGGGGUGAAAUCCCGGAGCUCAACUCCGGAACUGCCUUUGAUACUGGCCAUCUAGAGAUCGGAAGAGGUGAGUGGAAUUCCCAGUGUAGAGGUGAAAUUCGUAGAUAUUGGGAAGAACACCAGUGGCGAAGGCGGCUCACUGGUCCGAUACUGACGCUGAGGUGCGAAAGCGUGGGGAGCAAACAGGAUUAGAUACCCCCGUAGUC
rnacentral:rRNA from 1 species